GUGGGGAAUAUUGGACAAUGGGCGAAAGCCUGAUCCAGCCAUGCCGCGUGUGUGAAGAAGGUCUUCGGAUUGUAAAGCACUUUAAGUUGGGAGGAAGGGCAUUAACCUAAUACGUUAGUGUUUUGACGUUACCGACAGAAUAAGCACCGGCUAACUUCGUGCCAGCAGCCGCGGUAAUACGAAGGGUGCAAGCGUUAAUCGGAAUUACUGGGCGUAAAGCGCGCGUAGGUGGUUCGUUAAGUUGGAUGUGAAAGCCCCGGGCUCAACCUGGGAACUGCAUCCAAAACUGGCGAGCUAGAGUACGGUAGAGGGUGGUGGAAUUUCCUGUGUAGCGGUGAAAUGCGUAGAUAUAGGAAGGAACACCAGUGGCGAAGGCGACCACCUGGACUGAUACUGACACUGAGGUGCGAAAGCGUGGGGAGCAAACAGGAUUAGAAACCCGAGUAGUCC
rnacentral:rRNA from 1 species